GAUGAACGCUAGCGGCAGGCAUAAUACAUGCAAGUUGAACGGGAUUCAGAUAGCAAUAUUUGAUGAGAGUGGCGCACGGGUGCGUAACACGUAUGCAACUUACCUUAAACUGGGAGAUAGCCCGUGGAAACAUGGAUUAAUAUCCCAUAGUAUAAAGAACAGGCAUUUGUUUUUUAUUAAAGCUCCGGCGGUUUAAGAUGGGCAUGCGCGUCAUUAGCUAGAUGGAGAGGUAACGGCUCACCAUGGCAACGAUGACUAGGGGGUUUGAGAGGAUGUCCCCCCACACCGGUACUGAGACACGGACCAGACUCCUACGGGAGGCAGCAGUAGGGAAUAUUGGGCAAUGGACGCAAGUCUGACCCAGCCAUGCCGCGUGCAGGAAGACGGCCCUCUGGGUUGUAAACUGCUUUUAUCAGGGAAGAAACCCUUCUACGUGUAGGAGGCUGACGGUACCUGAGGAAUAAGGAUCGGCUAACUCCGUGCCAGCAGCCGAC
rnacentral:rRNA from 1 species